CAGCGUUUGGCAGCGCGGGGUGAUUUGGGGCCCUGCCCGGGCGGUGCAGCCGCGGAGGUGCGGUGGUGCUGCCUCCGGACAGGCAGGGCACGGGGUUGGAGCUAGAUAUGAAGCUCUUGCUCAAACCGCCCGACGAGCGCUGUGAUUUUGACAUGCCUUUCCCAGAAAUGUGUAACGCUGCCUGGAGAGCUGUGCCAAGAUCAAACUGCUUCGGAUGGAAGAGUUCAGCCUGCUUGGAAAAGGGGAUAAGAAUCCGUGCCUUUUUUUUUUGGUGCUGUGUUGCUUUAAAGGAACAUUUCAGGUGGCAAACGUGGAGUUUAGCUACUGAAAGGCAGUUGACUAAUGAAAAAGCUUCCUAAAUGGUGAAAUACCACUCAGCUCCAGCGAGCAUAUUCUGUUUCAAUCGCUGCCUAUGUGGGCGUACAAUAUUUUUCACAGAUUGCCCGCAAAACUCAUCACUACUUAUAUGAUAAUAUUUGGGGGCUGAAUUUACUGCUGGCUGGAAUAAGUGCCUUUCUUCAGCCCUCUGAAGUAAUUCCUUAGGUUGCCAUGUUGCCACAGCAAUGCAGGAGCUGAUACAGGAGUUGAAAAUCCCAUCACCCAGGUUCUGCUCCUGUGUCUCAGCUGCCUACAGGGAAACCCUCUGAACUCACCAGCCUGCUGCGUUUUUGGUGCCUGAGGAUACCAGGAACUGGGAAACAAGAAGCACUUAGAAAUCAGAAAUCAUCCUUAGCAUUCCUAAUAAGCCUUAACCUUUCCAAUGAUGCAGAGGGCAAUUAUUGAACUUUUUACUCUCCGAGGAGUGCAGGUAAGUCAUAGCACUAAAGAACUUGUAUAUUUUUCUGCAUUUUAUUCUUCCAGGUCUGAGCUCUUGGUUCACAAUAUCACCACCAUCAGGCCUUUGGCUGGAGACUGAGGAAAAAUGGUGAUUAAAACAUACCUUUCCUAGGACAGAUUGCCUGGCUUGCGUAACUGAUUAUUUGUCAAAAUUUGGUUCCUGUUAUGUUUUUGUGAUAAUAGCAAGGUAGUGAGAAAAGUGUGGUCUCUGUGUUAUGGUACUGAAUGCUGGCUGGGGAGAUGUGGGUUUGUUUCUCAGUUCUGUUCCAGAUUUUCCUCUGACCUAGUAGUGCUUUACUGCUUUGUCUGAGAAACCUGGAGGGUAAGCAGCCCCUAGCUCAUAACUCAGCCAGAAAAAUUCCUGGCAGUUCUGGAUACUCUGAAAGCUGAGGCCAAACAGAAAAUGAUGGAGCCGAAGGGACAAACUAAGCUCCUUUAAUUCCGUUGAUCUGGAAAGCAGAAAAAGGUGAAUGGUAGAGGAAGAAGGAGGUAAUUGGAUGUAUUUUUUAAAUGAUAGAAAUAGUUUUACACCUUCAGUAUACUUGCUUUCCUUUUCUGUAGUCACAUAUAGCCCACCUUUUCUCAAAUGACUGUCUUGCUUUUUAAUUGGCCAUUACAAAUUGUCCAGCUCUUUUAGACAUUGAUCUAAAGAAAACUCUGAGAAGAAAUCAACCUAUUUGGUCUGACCUCUUCAUAUUUGUAGUGCUAUCUAUCCAUUCCUCCUAAUGUAUUUCUCAUGCUGAAUAUGUUUUCCUUUUUUCCUUUUACCUUGAAAACUAAAUUUAAAAAUCUCCAUUGACGGGAAAUACAGGUUUAUUUGCCAGUAUGCACAGCAAUCAAGGAAUAUAACUUCUCUUCCAGUAACAAUUUGCUCUAUUGCCCAAAUGUAGCACAUUCCUACCAGCCUUGGCACUGUCUGGACCCUUGGUGAGGUAGGUCAUUACAACAUCGUGAGGGGCACUGUGGUGAUAAAUUGCUGAAUUCCUUUCAUAGAUCUUAAUCAUGCCAAGAAAAAUAGAAGCACUUUUUCCUAAAUACACUUUCUCUCAGGAUUUCCCUCCUACUGGAUAUGUUCCUACGGCCUUAUGGCCUGAUCUGUAGUCUGCUGGGAGUUAGACUCAAUGGGAGUUUUUUCAUUGAUUUCAUUAUUUACUUUGUUUCACUUGGCAUUAUUGAUUCAUAUUCACUUUAGCUCAGACCCUUAGGCUAAACACUUCUAAAAUGUGAAAAUCCUUCUGUCAGGAGCAUCUCAUUUUCAAAAAGAGAUAAGAUUUCUAAGACCAGAAAUAUUAAUGUGAACCUGAAUCAAGGAGAAAAAUCUAUACAUUUCUGCAUAUUCUGCACAUUUUAUACCUUCCAGAAACAUAUGAACACAAACUUUCAUUUUUAUUUAACCAUCCCUUAAUUGAAUCCCUCCAUCCUUCAAUAAGUGAAGCACAAAAUCUUUCCUCAUUUUUUUUUUUUCCCUCCUUGAGCCUUCCAUCUCCUGUUUUUCCUCAAUCUCUGCAGUAAGCUAAUAAACACAGGCAUCUGCUGCUCCAGGAAAUAUUUUGUGGUUUCCUACUAUCUGCAGGUGGCUGCACUUGGCUGCAUCUCCCAGCUCUAUUACUUCCAUGUUUCUCUGAUGGAAAGAUACAGCACCAACAGUAUGUAGAAGUAGCAUGGUUUGUCAAAAGAAAUACCUGUUUGGGAAUUCGCACUUCCUUUGAAUAUAGUUCCCUGGAUCUUUUCCCUCCCAUGAAAUAUUUUAUGAUUUCUUUUUUUUAUUUCCUUGUUUAUAUGGAGAGGAAAACAGGAGCUUUUCAGUGUUAAUUUUGCUUAUUUAUUCAUUUCUAGUGAAGGCAGUAGCAGUGAGUAGUAGCUGAGUAUCUGGGACAUUCAUACUACAUACAGAAAGAAUCUGCUUUAGCACAGGACCAACACCCCAUCCUUCCCACACCUGAGUACAGAACCGCUUGGCUACUCUGGAGUACAGCUCUCUUCUAGAAAACAAGCAAAGAAACAAACAAAGAAACUGCAAUAAUUAAAAAAAAAAAAUAAAAAUCAACUCCCCCCUGCUCCGUGCCUACACUGGAAGAACUUUCUUGAUAAGUUACUACCACAAUUAUGCUGUUUUAAUUAGUUGAGAUUUUAUGCUUUAUUUUCUACCCCAAUUAGGUCUAUGCCUGAGUUUGGUUUCUGCCUCCAACACUGGUUUGUUGCGUUCCUUCAGGCUGUUAUUUGACACACUUCUGUCUCUGCUGCCCAGCUGCCUAUAAAACAAGGAUGAGACAUCCUUGGUUUCCUUGGGAUGUUUUCCAAUGAUUGUAACAACUGAAUUUUGAUGCUAACAUGUAAAUAGAUGGAAGAAUGCUAAAUAUUAUUCAAAUGAAGAGUAAUAUUCAUAUAGCUACACCAAGAGGUUCUGGGCCGAACAGAACUCCAUUUAAAUAAGCAUGUAUUACUACUUUUCAUUGCUUUGCUUUCUAUAGUGCAAUAAAAAUGGUUUUGCAGCUCUUGUGACAGUGAAUGCAAAGAACAAUGUCACAUAUGUUAAAAUACAUCAUAUAUCAUAUAGCUACAGUUAGAUAUAUUCAUAUAUGUGUUUGUGUGUAUGUUAAACUUACUUGCUAUGCAAGCUUGCAUACCAUGAUUGUUUGCAAGGUUUGUUUCAGCAGCUGCAUUUUCACAAAAAAAAAAUGCAAUGAGUUAUUUCAGACUAUGAAAAAAUAAUCAUUUACUGUCAUUUGGGCUUAUUUCCCAGAUGGCAUAAUGUGAAGCUGUUACCAGGUAAAGUCUUAAUAUUCUUGCGGCAGUUUAUAAUUCUUAUGUAUUAAGAUUAUUUUUUUUUUUCACAUUUUGUUUACAAUGCACCUUAUAGAUAUUCAUAGUAUUUAUUAAUAGUUAUGAAUCUACUUGUGACUUUACAAUGUAAUUCUAAGAUAGGAUUGUACAAAAAGUAAAAUAGAACAAUCUGUGUAAAUUACGAUGUACCUGUAUAAAACGAUACGAACAUUAGAUAUUCCUCUGUUCAGGGGGUUUUGUUGCUUGGAGAUUUUACACUGUACAUUGCUCUACAAGCAGAGAGAAAGCUAAGGAAGUUCCUGGCUGCUGUGUGGAGCUUUUACAGAUGUACCAUUAAUACAUUCUUUUUGCAGUUCAGGUUCCUGAGAGAGAAAAUGAUUUUGUUUCAUGAGUCUGCGCAUCACCUGUUGCAUUACACCUAACAAGGGUGGCCAGAUCCCCAGAUGACAUUGUGAACACCUUCCUUCUGAUACUGCACCAUUAGAGCUGGUGGUUUUGCCUUUGGUAAAGUAUAGGCAUGGAGAUCAAGGUAAAUGCUGACUGUGCUCUGCUGAUCUGCUGGCCAGUUUGGGCACACUGGUGCAUACUGUGUCUUCAACAAGUUGCUGUAGUGGGGUUGAUCCUGGAGGUACCAUGAGUUACAGUGUUUGGUUCUGCUUGGCAAGACAAAGGUGGCCAAGGGUUUGGAUUACAAAUUCCAUAAAAAUUCCAUAAUCAAAUAAGCUAAACUUUUGGUUUUCUUCUUAACACCUGACAGUCUGUUUGCCCUUUUCAUACCGUACUUUUUUUUUUUUUUUUUUCUUUUCUGACACACUCCUAACCUCCUUUCAACACCCACUUUGGCUUCUCAAAUACUUAUGGAAGAAGAAGGUAAUAAAUACAACAAGGUUCUUUAGUAUUAGAAAGUGUACGAUUCUCAUGGAGAAUCAUACACUGUAAUUCAUUAAAAAAUCCUGUGGUUAGUUCAGGUAGUUAGGAGUUUACAUUGUUCCCAUUAAAAGUCAAAAGCACGUCUUUAACACCUCCAAUGAUUUUAAUGGAGGCAGCUUCAAGACUUAAUAAAAUACUGUAUCAUUUCAAAAUGUAAGAGUAUCUGGUUCUGAUUAUGAAAGGUUAAUAACAUUUUAAAUUGGAACUACAACAUAUUAAUCAUGCUUCCUUCUUAAGUCAAAUGCAUGUUAUGUCUGUUUCUAUGGUGAUGAUAAUUAAUGCACACGGAACAGUAAAAAACUCAAAUGGACUGGAUCCUGCAGUGUGCAGAGCAACUCCUGGAAUUGAGGGUCCACUGCUCCCGGCAGUGAGGAGAGUGAUAGAGAGGAGCACGUCAAGAGAAAAACACUGUAUUUGGCACAAGCAGGUCCUGUAACUUUUGCCAAUUAGGAGCAGAGUCUUUCAUACUGCACCACAUAAUCUUAUUGAAGGCAACCAGAUGUGACUCCAGAAAGUGGCUGCACCAAACAUAAAACAUCAGUCCUGUGAGGUUCAACAGAAUCUUGUUUCCUACUGAAGUUUGCAUGGGUAGUUCUUGUCAGCUUAGAUGCUCACCUGUAAGGCACCAAAAUUUCUAUUCAAAGCACUACUAAAUGAUUCCCACAAAAUAAUUUCAGCUCCUGUGGCAGGGAAGUGAAAAAUGAACAGUACAGGAAAUAUGGCUAAUGUGCCAUUUGGGAAGUCAAGGAGGAGAAUUUGAUUUUAUUUCCAUUUUCAAACAACUGCUAAGUGAAGUGAAGAUCACAAAUUCGUUCCCUAUGCCAUUCCCUCCCUUCUCCUCCCUCUACUUCCAAUCAUCUCUAGAACUUGUUUUCAAUCAAGUAUAGACAAAAUUAAGUUUUAAAAGAUCAAAAGGGAAACAAUAUUUCCUAAUAGUAUAAUUUGAAUUUGUCAUAUUUUUGAGAAAUCAUUGUUAUAUAUGUCUUUCAGUCAUAAAUGGACCAAACGUCAAAUUUAAUGAAAAUUGAACUGUGAUUUAUUUAAGAAAAUGCUGCAUAGAUAAAUAUUCAUCCUAGAUUUCAAUCUUUCUGUGACUGAAGGGUUCCUCUGAUUUAACAUGAGAGACGCCUUACACCCCCCCGUACUCCAGACAUGUAUGAAUGUGAGUUAGGGUUUUUAAGGUCAAAGAUGAGACAUCUUACAUGAAUCCAUUGAUGGGAUAGAUUUGAAUCUGUAGCAUAAGGUGCAGUUUUGGAAAAGCCACAUUUCUCUCCUGUGCCUCUGCUACAGGGUGAAAGCAGUGGGAAGUGUCACUGCUAUUCACAAGGGUAGGUUAAGCCUCAGUCACCAAAACUUGUGAAAAUCAUUGGAAAUAUUGAGAUAGCAUAUUUCUUAUCAAAAAGAAAAAGUCUCAGCUUUAUUUGCUGUUUUAAAAGCUGGCAUAAAAAUACAUAUGUAAAGAAGUGUGAAGGUUGGACAGGCUUUCUUUUUUUUUUUUUUUUUUUUCUUAAGCAGGCAUUUACCAUUUUAGGAGAAAGCAGGACUGGCAUUUAAAAGCCUUAAAGCAGAGUAUUUAUCACAGGCAGUGAAACAAAAGCCUGCUGAAUUCUAAAUUACAAACCUGGUCAGAAAUCGACUAUCUGACUGUGCCUUUUAACUCUCCUUAAAGACAUACAGUAUGCCUUUGUGACUAUCAGUGUCUUAGAGAAAAAGAAAUGGCAUAGACAACUCUGCAAGAUUCUUGGAUAUGAGAGACAAAUAUGCAGUUAAAACCUUUUAAAUGUGGGAACUUCUUUGCUGGCUGGGAACCUGUGUCACCUCUACUACCCAGUUGUGCAGAACUACUCAGCUUUGUUUUUGUAAUUGUUUAAACCUACUGUUUCCUAAUGGAAAGAUGGAAAGAUUCAGAAAGCGAGCCUGUACUUCCACAUUUUGUUUGGAGACAAGGCUUGUGCACCAGCGGUGCUCGCAGUAAUUGAGCUAUGGCAUUAUUCUGCCAAGUGACAGGUAAGGGAGACAGCAGCAUACCAAUUUGCCUGGUUUUUACAAGCCUCUAAACUCCACAUGUAAUUAAAGAGACUUUUCAUAUUUAAUAGUAUUUAUCUUGUGUGUCAGAUAACACUUGUUAAAAGUCAUCAGCUUUUCAUUACCAAGAUCAUUAAUACCAUUGGUGAUACCGUGACUUGAAUAGCUCUUCACUUGUUUGUCACAGCUGCAAACUGACUUUCUAAUGACUGAUUCAGUUGUAAAUUUGCCUUUUCAAGAACAAACCUAGAAGUAUCAGACCUGUUGCUUACCUCAAAUUCUUUUACUGACAUUUACUUUCAAUGUAAAGUGAUGCUAAGGUAGUGAUUUUAGCGGGAAGCACUCCUCUGGAAGGUCAUCUUUGCAAAUAGGUAACAUGCUGCUGAUGGAGCAGUGGUUUUGUGCAUCCAAAUUUUGCUGAUUUUGCCAUCUGUUCCCCCUGCUGUGGUAGGACACCUGGCAGAAAAGAGCAGAUCCUGUUUGUUUUCCUGCAUGUGCACACUUUGGCCUGUUAACCUUUGCGUUGCUACUGCUGUGCAUCACAGAAAAGACAAAAUUGUGCUAGGCCGGCAGGCAGGAAACCUGUCUGCUCUGUGCUUUCACUUUGUUUUGCAGACUGUGCCAAUAAGUUAGUGGGAGGCAUCAAAGUGCAUUGCACUGCUUUUUCAGAGCACAAGGGCAGCUUAAGGAGGUUGCCUUUUUUUAUUUAUGUAUUUAUUUAUUUAUUUUUUAACAUCUUUAUACAAGAAAAGCCCUCCAUAUGAAUUUGCUUUUAUGCAAGAUUUUAGAUGGACAUGCAGUCUUAGAUCUUAAGGCCAGCAGUAAGCCAGUAGGUCAUUUAGUCUUGCUUCUAAUGAAAAUAACUUCCAGGAGACAUCCAGGAAUGAAGAACACAGUGCUUUCAUUUUUGGUUUAUUGCAAUUACUCAGUGCCUUACUGCUGUUUAUUUAUUUAUUUAUUUAUUUAUUUUCUGGCAUAAAUACUGCUGUACAGUUACUUGGCUUGAGACACUACCUAUGCAUUGAGAGACUGAUGCUGUCAUCAUGCUUAUGUGUGCAAAGUAAGUGUAAUAUGGCUCAAAGAAAUACUUCGACUUGCAGGCUUGCUUCAUCAGAAUUCUUAUAUUGCUUCUACUUUCUUAAACUGCAAAUUUCUUGUGAUUGGCCUGUCUAGGCUUCAUUUGACAAAUCAAAGUAAACAGGAAAUUAAGAACCCACAUUAUAAUACAAGAUGUUAAAGAUGUAUUUUGCAGUGAGUGCCCAGGUUGGGCAGUGCAGACAGAAGAAUUGCUACCUGAGUCUUGACAUGAAGAAUUAAGUAUUAUGAGGAGCCUCCGGCUGAUAUGGAUAAGCCAUUAUGUUGUAGUCACAAAUAGUGCACCAUCAGAUUAGGCUACGCUAAAUGGCAAUUUAAUGACAGUACCAACCCAGCUCUAAUUGUUUGUUGUGUUGUUAGUAGGCACAAGGUUAUAUACUAGCAGAAAACUACAUUUGAGGUUGGAGGGUCAAAUCAGAAAAAGCAGAACUGUAGCAGUACUGUAGUCAGAGAGCAAUUGUUAGAGGCAAAAUAAUUCAGCAUGGUUGCUCAGCUGAUUUCCUUGGUGAGAGUGUGAACUGGAGCUGAAACUUCCUGGAGCUGUCCUUGCUCAAGGUGAGACAACCCAGAGAGAUUAGCCAGGCUUGCAGCUGAAUCCAGUGCAGUACAAAACAUGACAGUCCUGACCCAAUAAAACUGUCAGGCCAGACUUAAUUUUAUGGACCUCAGUAGUCCUCUGCUUGAGUGGCAGGGGCUGUGAGCUUUGGCUUCCUCAGUGUUUGCUUUUGUGGUUGCUCCCAUCACUUUCAUCUUGCACAGGGCUUCUAGGAAGGGAGGGGACCAAGGGAACCUUGCCCCUAGCAUACCAAGGGAAAGUCAGUUUGGUGGAAAGCCCUUGGGGAACAAAGUCUGUUACUUAGUUUGCUCACCAAGAGGGCUGGAAGUUUGGAUUAUGCAGUUUCAAUCUUAGUAGUAACAGAGAAAUUCCUUCUCUCUUUGUUGCCAAGACUUAAACUAACUCAUUCAAGAGACCUUUUCCAUUCAAAGAACUUUGCAAAGUCAGACAAGCAUUUGGACAUCGAUUGCAUUGGAUGAUCGGAGUAAGAAAAACAGCAGGAAAAAAUAAGGAUGAGAUGGAAGGGCAUUUCCAGUGGAACAGCUCAUGCCUAACACUGUGAUGAAGGUAAGACACCCUCUCUUGAUGGAGUAUGAAAAAUCAAUAAAUCCUUUGGUAUUUGUAGGGUGGCCUUACUUCCCCUAUUGGAAGGAAGGAAACUCCCCCUGAGCUGCCUCCAAGAGCUCUCUGAGGGUAGUAUAUCUUUGUUCUUUAUUGGAGGGAUGAGCCUCAGGGCUUGUGGCAGAAAGCCUAUGGGGAUCCUGCUGCCUGUUCCUAUCUGUGCAUGUGCACAGUCCCCAGCCUCGGCCACACUCACAGCUACCCACUUGCCCCUCCUGGGAACAAGGCAUCACCCCUAUGAGUGGCAGGGUCUUGCUGCUCCUGAUGAGUUUCUGAGCCAGGGUUUUUCAUUCUAACUUGUGAAAAUGUAACCAAACUCUUGCUUGAGUGGUGCCAUACUCUGCUCCCUUUCCUUUACUUUCCUCCAUUUCAGGGAGCAAUUACACCCAGACUGCUGUGAGCAUGCUGGUGUUAGUGACUGUGCAAAGAGCACUGCACUAGUGUGGUGCUUCCGCAAAUCACAGCCACGUCCAACAAAAGCCUUUUGAUCAUGCUGUCUUCUCUGGAGGAUGUUGCAGUCUUCCUUUUUCCAUAUUUUUUCAUAUUACAGAAUACAUAGAAUGGUAUAUCCCUUUGCACAUAUGAACGAUGCUCAUGAUCUCCCCUGCAUGAUCAGAUAUAUGAUCUUUUUAAAAAGUUCACUUAUUAAAUGUUAAAAUUAUUCUUUUUUCCUUGAAAAACUCUCAGUUUCACAGAUCCAUACUCUCUUCCUCUUGUGCUCUUUUCUUCUUUCCCCUAUUUUUUUUUCCUGUUGGUAAGGGACUGUCAACACGUACAAAAUGACCAGCAUGCAUGAAUAAUAAAACAAGUUAUUCAAAAAACUUCCUGCAUGAAUGGUCUUUCAGAGUGCUACAGAGUAAUUGUCCUUUUUCCAAAGCUACAAGCUAUUUUCUCAAAUCCUGAAGAAAAUUCUUGGGCUGGGUUCUCCUCUAUAUGUCUCUAGCUUAAUGACAGGGAAACCCAGAAUAUCUCUGCUGGAUGGAC